rnacentral:rRNA from 1 species
GAUGAACGCUGGCGGCGUGCCUAAUACAUGCAAGUCGAGCGAACUGAUUAGAAGCUUGCUUCUAUGACGUUAGCGGCGGACGGGUGGGUAACACGUGGGCAACCUGCCUGUAAGACUGGGAUAACUUCGGGAAACCGAAGCUAAUACCGGAUAGGAUCUUCUCCUUCAUGGGAGAUGAUUGAAAGAUGGUUUCGGCUAUCACUUACAGAUGGGCCCGCGGUGCAUUAGCUAGUUGGUGAGGUAACGGCUCACCAAGGCAACGAUGCAUAGCCGACCUGGGAGGGUGAUCGGCCACACUGGGACUGAGACACGGCCCAGACUCCUACGGGAGGCAGCAGUAGGGAAUCUUCCGCAAUGGACGAAAGUCUGACGGAGCAACGCCGCGUGAGUGAUGAAGGCUUUCGGGUCGUAAAACUCUGUUGUUAGGGAAGAACAAGUACGAGAGUAACUGCUCGUACCUUGACGGUACCUAACCAGAAAGCCACGGCUAACUACGUGCCAGCCGCCGCCGUAA